AAGCCUUAAACUUAUGAGUAAGGAAAAUAAUAAUUCAGGGUGAUGGCCAAAUCCCAACUGCCAAUCAGAGAUGAAUUUUUGAGGGGGUCAAGGAUGACCCUAAGGUGACCUGCCUACUUUGCGAGAUGCUGGAAGUCACGAUCUGUCUGUCCC
rnacentral:snRNA from 1 species